UUUGUGUCCGUGUGCACGUGGAGGGAGACAAACAUGCUAGUCCUGUUGCUCACUGUGGGCUUGAUACAGGAUGAUCUGCAGGAAGACAAAGACGAAUUGUACUUCAAAGAUAGAAAUGGGAUGUGUUGGUGGUACCUAAAGGUGUCUUUCAACUCUGACUUCUUGAGAAGAUUUACUGAUUCUACCUCUCCCCAACAUCUGAACAUCUGAACCUCUCCACCAGAAGACUAAUCACAGAACCCAAGAAGCAGUGCGGAAAUGAAGCUACAAGGAGCCAACACCUACUCUCACAGCAGGAGGCUCUCUGACCUCUGAAUGCCAUAAACCAGAUGCUGAGAGUCAGGAGGUCUGAGACAGGAGAGCAGAGAUGUUAGCAUUAGGAAGAACAGAGAAUGUCCCUCAUCUGCAAGAAAUGAGCAGCUAUAACUGUACAACUGCAGUGAAGUGGGAAAUCAAUGUUAAAUUACCAAAGCAAGUCUAAGAAACAUAAAUGCCAAAAAUACACGAUGUGAAAAAUAUCCAGAAACUGAACCUUUCAGGUGAUGAUGUUCAAGCAGGGAGAGAAACUGUGUGCAGCAGACAGAGGGUGGGUUUGUCCGUCUGGAUAUCUGGUAGAGAGGAAAGACCUGGAGAUCAUCUGGAUAGUUUAACUACAGGGAGGUGGGAGGUGGAGGAGUGUUCAGGUUCAUCUGUCCUGAUUUAUGACUGUCAGCCCUGAGAGGUGUUGCUACAGUUAAAAGCUAAUCUUCCAUUUCUUCUGGUCACAAUCAGAACCAGUGUAUGGUUGUGUGUUAGAUCUUAAAAACAAGAACCAGAAAAGUGCCACUACAGCCUCCUGAUGAGCAGCACAGAGACGGAUCCACUUAGCUAAAAUGUUCCAAACCACCAUAACCCCAUCAGAACAUCCUCUCAGCUCUGCACAUGGAGACAUUUUUAGGACAAUUUUAACUGUUUAUUGUUUUAUUGAAGUUUAUUUUCUCAUUAUUUGGUUUCAUGUAUUAAACUAAUUGACUAAUUUUUGCUGUUUAUUUAGGCUGAACAAAUUAGUAUGAUCUUAAAUGUGUCAAUUUGUCUGCCCUUAUGUUUGCUCUCCAAAUACUCCAAUAAGGAAGGUUUUAAUGGAACUGACACUUUAGACGCCUCCUGGAAUAUUUAUCCUGCUCAUAUCCGCUGAUGAAACCACCGAUCUGCAAUUAGAGAAUAGUAAUAAUAUGUCCUUCAUGUUCUUCAAACACAGAGUGCAGUACUUUAUCAUCUGAGAUUGUGUGGUAUGAGUGAAAGAUUUAAAGGCAUGCAGAUGGUCUGACCACCACAUCUGGAGAUGGGGUUGAUUCUGUUCCUGUUCACAUGUUUUAUCAUUUCAAAGGGAGUCAAUGUACCACAUUAUCAAAUAUAAUUACUUCACAUUUCCUUUCACUUUUAUUUAUGAACAACAC